GUAAUGCUAAACCGGAGAGGUGGCUGCCGCCUCCCAGGGCUCCAGUCGCCAGGGCUGCCGGCUGACAUCCCAACCACACGGAAAAGCACCACGACCCAGGGUCUUAGGAAAAUGAAAAAUCAACUCCUCUGCUGGUGAUGAUCACAAGCCAUGGGCUCAGCCACACUACCUCAUUUUAAUUAGAAGACCAGCACAGGGAAUCAUUGCCUUACACAGAGCAGUCAAUGCUGAGUGACUCAAUUUGAACACCCCAAGGAAACUCAUCAUAAAUACUGAGAAUAACUCAGCACUGUGGACACACUUGGUGAGCUCUCCUAGAACGGAAACCUCAACGAAGCAUGAAAAGCAGUUCUGGUGACAAUGGAAAAUAAAGCAAGCUCCUGCCAAGUAAGAACUUUGCAUACAGUAAAAGCGGAACGUGAGAACUCAUGACCAGGGCCUAUCGAUGCAUUUCGAGAAUGUCUCACAGAACCGGAAAUGGAGAAUUGAGGCUCAAUACCCUUCUCGGGGUGAAGAGCGUCCCUUUAAGAAGGGAUUGUACCAGCUGGCCACACUACAGCUCCCAGAGAUUUUCUGGCUUGCCUCCAGGCUCCACCCCCCAGUCUCUGGCCUCAGCAACGCGUGACGUCAGAGGAAGCGGAGGCUGCCGAUUGGCUGAGCGACGCUGCUAGGUCAAGUCCAGUCAGAGGAAAGAAGUUUGUCUCCAUGUGGAAACCAUGUGUCUCUCGCUGGGAGGGGGAAGCGGAGGAGGCGGAGAAACUGAGAUCAAGUGAUUACAGGAGAACUGGCUGAAAUGAAAGCGAGGAGGUUGUGCACCUGAGCCGGCCAGUAUUGUCGUUUGCAGU